UACGGAGGGGGCAAGCGUUAUUCGGAUUUACUGGGCGUAAAGCGCACGCAGGCGGCAUGGUAAGUCAAAGGUGAAAGCCCUCGGCUCAACCGAGGAACUGCCUUUGAGACUGCUUUGCUUGAGUCCGGGAGGGGGGAGCGGAAUUCCCAGUGUAGCGGUGAAAUGCGUAGAUACUGGGAGGAACACCGGUGGCGAAGGCGGCUCCCUGGACCGGUACUGACGCUGAGGUGCGAAAGCGUGGGUAGCAAACAGG
rnacentral:rRNA from 1 species